rnacentral:rRNA from 1 species
GACGAACGCUGGCGGCGUGCUUAACACAUGCAAGUCGAACGGAAAGGCCCUGCUUUUGUGGGGUGCUCGAGUGGCGAACGGGUGAGUAACACGUGAGUAACCUGCCCUUGACUUUGGGAUAACUUCAGGAAACUGGGGCUAAUACCGGAUAGGAGCUCCUGCUGCAUGGUGGGGGUUGGAAAGUUUCGGCGGUUGGGGAUGGACUCGCGGCUUAUCAGCUUGUUGGUGGGGUAGUGGCUUACCAAGGCUUUGACGGGUAGCCGGCCUGAGAGGAUGACCGGCCACAUUGGGACUGAGAAACGGCCCAGACUACUACGGGAGGAGGCAGUGGGGAAUAUUGCACAAUGGGCGGAAGCCUGAUGCAGCAACGCCGCGUGCGGGAUGACGGCCUUCGGGUUGUAAACCGCUUUCGACUGUGACGAAGCGUGAGUGAAGGUAAUGGGUAAAGAAGCACCGGCUAACUACG